ACGCUCGACACCUACGGAAGGCAGCAGUGGGGAAUAUUGCACAAUGGGGGAAACCCUGAUGCAGCGACGCCGCGUGAAGGAAGAAGUAUCUCGGUAUGUAAACUUCUAUCAGCAGGGAAGAAAAUGACGGUACCUGACUAAGAAGCCCCGGCUAACUACGUGCCAGAAGCCGCGGUAAUCUGAGCGGGCUGGCAAGGC
rnacentral:rRNA from 1 species